GAAAAAGAUUCAAUCCCGCACCCUUGUCUAUGAGCACCUUGUGAACCUCGAAAUCCUCUAUGUAGUUAGUUAUGUAGAGAGGCAACAUGUGCGGAUGGCCUGUAUGCGCUGCAUCCUUUUCAGUAAAGGUCAUGGGUUGAGGUGCGGAGAUUUGCCCUAUCAUUACCUUCAGGCCUUCCGGUGGGGUAUCCUUGGUAAUGUGGGCUGACUUUAGCACACUAAAGAAGAUGUCAGUGUGCUUCUGGGAUGUCUUGAGCAGUUCACAAAUGGAACCGGGAUUUUCCUAAGCUGCUCUAAGAUGUCGUACUCGGGCACGUCCGCCCUUUCCUUUCUCUAGCCCAAGCGGUGCUUUGGGGAUCAUUGCCUUGCAAAUGAGGCGGUUGAUAGACCCUUCCUGUCCUAGUGGUAUGGUUAACAUAAACUUCUUCCCUUGAGGUUAACUCCAAGACUAAUGUGUAUAUUUCUGCUUCAUUCACUUCCUGAACAGUUUUUGUGCCGGGGAAGAAGAUGCAUUGACCUUGGCAGUUCAUAACCAUUUCUCGUUAGAAGAAAGAUUCCUCCGACCACUAUACAUGUGAUUGGACUAGUUAAUUUCGUUUCUAAAGAACUGAAACUGUCCAGAAUCGGGCUAGAUAAUGGCAGUCUACUUGGACCUAUAGAUAGGUUUAUGGACUAGUUAAUUAUGUUCAUAAAGAAGUAGCCUUUCCUUAAGCGUCUGUUCACCUCAGGCAAUGAAUAAGGAUUCCCUUGCUUCGUAGACAGGGUUUGUGUGAAAUGAGCAGUUUAUUAAGGAAAAUAAAAUUCCGUCUCUCAACUCAAUAGGUCGACCCGAGCCAUUGCUAUAUGGUAUGAGGAGUAUGAUAGCGCGAAUAGCACAAGGAGGAAAUAGGGGAGUUUACAUUUCUUUUUUUAGUUUUCUAAGAUUUCCACAGUACUCCAACAACUACUAACAGAGAGAUGAACGUUCAGAAUUUGGAAAUGAAUGCUCAUAACUUCAAAGGGAAGGAAGAGAUUGUUAAUCGGAAGGGGAAGUCAGUCUUCUUACAACUUACUAUCAAAUUAAUCCUGACGUGGUCUCGAAACAUAACGCUUGCUGAACAAUUUGCCCAUCUGCAAAGAGAAGGGCUACGUUGAUCAACUAAAGCAUGAAACGAGAUGCAAAGAACAGAGGCAAGCUUAGAGAGGACCUCCCAAACCGACACAUAAGACUCUUCUACCAUACGCAUAUCUAAAGCCGUAAGUCAAAAAUCACCCCAAAACCUUCUAUUCGUUCCCCAACAAGUGGAUCUUAAGGCACGAAAGGAAGACUUGGGCGCAAGGAGAAAGGAGAUAAAGACCAGAACUGAACUCUUCCUCUUCUCCUCUAGGUUCCGUUUCCGUUCCUAGCGAGCUAACAUCAAACAAUUCCCUUCCAAACUAUCCUGCUAUUCAUUCCUCCGCUUGCCAAUCACCUCCAAACUCAAAACAAAGAAAGCCCAGCCGGGAAGGCAAAAGAAGGAUUCCCAUUCCCCUGCCUGGCAAGAGACUGCAUGUAAGGAUCUCACAAUCGAAGGAAGCGCUUACUUACCAAUGUACCUCCAACUCGAUGAAGUGCACUCCCAGCGAGAAGGAAUGACACUUUCACUGCCAACUCAACAGCUCGAAGUGGAAUCGAACCACGAAGGAUUUUCAGUCCUUUGCUCUAACCAGCUGAGCUACCUAAACCACUUUCCUAAAGUCUCUUUUCUU
rnacentral:misc_RNA from 1 species